rnacentral:tRNA from 1 species
GCGCCUAUAGCUUAAUGGAUAAAGUACUGGUCUUCGAAACCAUUGAUGAAGGUUCAAUUCCUUCUAGGCGCA